UGACCCGCGCUCUACCCGUCAGGCAGCGCGCUGGGCGCCGCGCGGCCACCCCCGCCUCCCUCCCUCUCUCCCUCCCUCCCUCCCUCCCUCCUUCCUUCCUUCUCCGGCGGCGGCUGAGGUGGGGCGCCGCGGUUCGGCGAUGUGAGGCUCCUCCGCCAGCGCGGCUGCCUCCCAUCCCCCCGCCAGCCCAGCAGGAAGGGAGUGAGGCGGCCUGCCGCGGCCUCUCCGGACGCGCAGCACGUCUCAAGAUGGCAGAAUUAUUUAUGGAAUGUGAAGAAGAGGAGCUAGAACCAUGGCAAAAGAGAGUGAAAGAAGUGGAAGAGGAUGAUGAUGAUGAUGAGCCAAUCUUUGUUGGGGAAAUCUCAAGCUCAAAGCCAGCUAGCACAUAUAUAUUGAACAGAGUCAACCUCAGCUCAUCACGAAGGGGGAUACAGAAUGGUGCACCCAGUAGAGGUACAGUUACUACAUUCAAGCCUGACAGCCAUUAUGUGACACCUGCCUCCAGCCCCAGUGCCAUGCCUGUUUCAUCAGUCUUUCAGUCUGUAUCCAGACCUACAACUAGCUCUGUAGCAGUUCAGCCAUUGUCUGUACCAGUGAAUGUUUCAGGAACUUCACAAACACUGCAGAGACCAGUUGCUGGAUGUUUAUCAACACAGCAGAUGCCUGGGUCAAGUUCUGGAAUAUCACAGCCUGUUAACAGACCUGUAACCAUUCCAGUGACAACACAGCCAGUAUCAAGAAAUACCACGGUUCCUGUAGUGGCUCAACCUGUCUCCAGGCCGGUGACUACCGUGACAGCACAGCCUGUAAUACUCAAUCAGGAUUAUAUUAUGGAUUCUCCACCAGCUGCACCAGAUAAUACAUCUGGUAUACUGUUUGGUGUGAGACAGAACUCGGGAGUUCCACAGUACCAGACUGGGCCAGCAGUGAAUGUAACAGGUCUGAAUGAGAGUGGUUUUGUAUCUAAGCGUCCUGCUACUUCUGAAGGCAACAGUGUAACUCCAAAAAAGGCCAAGCAUAAUGAGGUUGGUGCUGGAAGCAAUUCAGCUGUUUCACCUACAGUUAACUCUCCAACAGUAACACCAUCACAAAAUGUAUCUUCAAAAGGUACAAAUGCUGUGUCAAGCACCAUUAAAAAUGGAGGACCUUUUCCACGAGCUUGUCCGAAGUGCAAUAUUCAUUUCAAUCUUAUGGAUCCUCUAAAAAAUCAUAUGAAGUAUUGUUGUCCAGAUAUGGUAAAUAACUUUUUCCUGGGGGCGGCCAAAACAGAAUGUUCGAGCACAACAAGCAAGACUGCUGAAUCUGAGAAAGGAAAAUUGAUUAUGUUAGUUAACGACUUUUACUAUGGGAAACAUGAAGGUGAUACCCAGCAGGUACAACAGGAGCAGAAGACUCAUACGACAUUUAAGUGCUUCAGUUGUCUGAAAGUUCUUAAAAAUAAUAUAAGGUUUAUGAACCACAUGAAACACCACUUGGAGCUUGAGAAGCAGAGCAGUGAAAGUUGGGAAAGCCACACCACCUGCCAGCAUUGUUACCGUCAGUUUCCCACCCCGUUCCAGCUGCAGUGCCACAUUGAAAGUACACACACGCCUUACGAGUCAUCUACAAUUUGUAAAAUCUGUGAAUUAUCCUUUGAAACAGAGCAAGUUCUCUUGCAACAUAUGAAGGACAAUCAUAAGCCAGGUGAAAUGCCGUAUGUUUGCCAGGUAUGCAACUACAGAUCCUCAGCUUUUUCAGAUGUAGAAACACAUUUUAGAACAGUUCAUGAAAAUACAAAACAUUUGCUAUGCCCAUUUUGCCUCAAAGUGAUUAAAAUUGGAGCACCAUAUAUGCAUCAUUACAUGAGGCAUCAGAAAAAAGGAAUAUACCGUUGCACUAAGUGCAGACUGCAGUUUUUGACAUGCAAAGAAAAAAUGGAUCACAAGACUCAGCAUCACCGAACAUUUAGGAAACCCAAACAGUUAGAAGGAUUGCCUCCUGGAACAAAGGUGACUAUUCGAGCAUCUGUUGGAUCUCUUCAAUCAGGAUCAUCAGCUACAUCUUCUGUUAGUACAAGCACCUCCACGUUUCAGUUAUCACCUAAAGUUAAAAAUACGACCACUAAAAAUCAUAACAGAUCUAAUACAAAUAAGUCAAAAGCAAAAUCAAAACCAACUACGUCAAAGAAGCAAAAUGCAUGGACCAACAGCAAAAAAAAAAAAGAAGUUACAAAUACAGCAUUACAUAAUCUAAGGUAUCGUUUGGGAGCUCACAAAUGCAUUGAGUGUUACUCAGAAAUAAAAGAUUUUGCAAGCCAUUUUCCUGCUUAUGUCCACUGUAGCUUAUGCAGAUACAACACUAGCUGUAGCAAAGCUUAUGUGAAUCACAUGAUGAGUUUUCACAGUGCUCGUCAAAGUAAAAGAUUUUGGAUCUAUAAGAAGCAUUCAGAAGAGCUACGAGGUGUGACUGUAGUGUGUCUUAACUGUGAUUUCCUGACUGAUGUUUCUGGCUUAGAUAGCAUGGCCACACAUCUGAGUGAAAGCCACACUCAUACUUGUCAAGUUAUUAUAGAGAAAGUUUCUGUAGAUAUCCCAACUGCUGAACAAGUAUCUGAGGGAGUUGAAAGUGAGCAGGUAUCCUAUACUGCCUUGGCUCACUGAUACAUCAUUGUGGACCAGAAAAUUGAACCCAGUCCAGCUUGGGAGUAUUUUGGUUUCCAGCAACAACAAAACUGGAAUAUGAUUGCAGAUUUUCAUGGCUUUCAGAAAUGUUCUCUAACAAUUUCCCAGAAGCUACACUAGAUUGACACUUUGAUUUGAAGCUGUGUGGAUUAUGCCUCUUUUGAAUGCUCAUUUGGAAUAUUAUCAUUUGAUUCUUUUACAGCUUUGCUACAGAAUUUUAAGUUUCAGACUUGCAGUUAAAAUAUUUUUAAGCUACCUACAGAUUUUCCAACAUUGUGUAAAUAGUUCAUGUAAAAACAAUUGGCAAUAUGACAUCCUGUUUCCAUUUGUGUGAGGAUCUCGGAAAAGUUACUCAUGUGAAAAACUCAUAACAUAAAACCAGUACUAAACCAUGCAAGUAAACCUGCCUGACUCAUGAUUAAAUAUCUGCGAUGGUCCCAACAACUACAAAGUUACAUGAAUAAUGCAACAUAUUGGACCACAUGUGCAAGGACUGAGCGUGAAUAUGCAUAGUAUAACCAGUUCAGUUUAUGGUCAAAGAAUUGAGAUUUCAUUUGUACAUACCUUAACCUGUCUCUUUUUUGUUAUUUUUAGGAUGUUGAGUGUCACUGUAUUAUGGGUUCUUAAAAGACAUGUAGUUGCAGGGUAACCCUGCUUGAUUACCAAAUUACAUAUUACCUUUGUUAUGAAAGUUUUUUCUGACAAGAAAGUAAAUGUUUCUGUUAUUCUGUUAAAUGUUUGUAACUGUGCAGUUUUGUGUGUAAUAACACUUUGCUAUGCAUGAUAAUAUCCAUAAGUUAUUAUGUAGACAUCUUCAUUGCUAACCCCAUUUUACAGGUGAGAAACUGGAGACAAUGUCAAGUAACAAGAAUGUCACAGUCUUUCCUAUCCCAUUCAGUCAUUAACAGUGUAAAACACCAUAGCGUAGAAGCAACUUUUUCUUCUCUCUAGCUAUCCACUUACGUGUACCUUCCCAGUAAAUCAUACAAUCAGAUAUAUGGGGGAGAAUUGUGCUUUUUGAAUCACCAGCUCUGUUUAGAGUAACAUCUUUCAAAAUGGGGAAUUUCUGCUAAAAGCUGGAGUUCUUUUAAAAAACAAAACAAAAACCACAAAACAAAACCUUCCAUUCUUUUGGUUGUAAAAUAGAUUUAUAUUUAUAAAGCUGGCUAUGGUUCGGUUGACUGGCUGGAAGGCAUCUUGAGCCACUUAACAUAAAGUUGUUUUCUAGAAAUUCUUGAAGCUACAGUCAUCCUAGAAAAGGUUACUUUUGGUUAGGAGUGGACAAAAAAGGGAUGUUUGGCAAAAGAUUCCAGCUGAGUUUCAGUACUGCUUACCUGAAGAAGCUGUGGGAGCCACUCUUUGGUUGCAAGUAAACAUGACAGAUCACUGGGAAGACAGUUGCUCAGGAUUUGAGCUUUCUGAGUGUGUGCAAAUAACAUUACUUUGUGAGAGCAGGGGAAGCAAUGAGACUGAAUUUCAGAAAUGAGAAUACUCUUAUCUGUGCUUGGACUGUGCAUUUUAGAGUUUACUUGUUCCACUGACUCAGUAUGUCUUCUAUUAGUCCUAGGUGACUCUUCAUGUAUCAAAGUUUCAGAUCAACCUGAAUUUAGACUUUAAGGUGUCUAAAUUAAUGUUCUUACUUAGCUGGCUUUUAUUCUGAGUUUCUAUGGUUUUAUGGCCAAUCCAUUCUUUUGAGUAUCUCAAGCUGAAAUUUUGUGCUCAGUUGCUACAUUUUGGGGGCAUUUUUUUUAAGGGAUUGACAAUUAAGGAACAUUUUUUCAUUUUCUUAACUAGAAUUUUAUUUUUAUGUAGAAUAAAGAAUCUUUGAAGAGUUAGAGAGAGGUUUCAAAAUAGUGGAUCAGUAGGCUGUACUUACCAGAGAUGGUCAUGAGUUUUUGUUUUAUUUUCAUAAUGUUCUUUCCAGAAGCACUGUAGGUCCACAGAUGUAAGAAAGCACCUAGCCUUUGUUGCUGUUUGAGAGCUAUGGGAUUUAAGACUUCCUAUAUCAUUAAAGUGUUGGGAACAUCACAAGGUGAUAAUUUUCUAUGGUUUAGAAUCCAUUUAUGAAACUUCUGCUAAUUAUAAAUUAGAAGGAACUACUUUCUAAAACAUACUACUAAACAAAAUUUAGAUUGAGAAUAUAUGUCAGGAAUCCAAGGUAAGCCAUAUCAACAAAGAUGUGGUUAUCACAAUGUUAUAAACUCUGUUCAUUUCCAAAACAGCAUAAGUAGCCACCUUGGAUCUAUUUUGUAAGCUAUAAAACAUGACCACAGAAAUCUAUCGGAAUUUGAUGCAUGUAAAAUAAUGUUUAUAAUGUAUUUAAAACGAUCUACAGAUAUUGGAUCCAAUUCAUACCUAUUUGGUGGCAAAACUUAGAUUUAUUCAGACAAGAGCAACAGUAUGUUUUGCCCUUGGAUAUACAGUAUCUGAUUUCAAGUUCUUGCAUAGAAAUCAUUAAAGCAGUGAAGCUAAGCUAAAUAUUUGGUGUUGCAUCAUCUUUUACUAGUGUUGCUAGCUCAUGAUUAAAUACUUGAGAGUAUUUAAAGUCUGACCCAAAAAAUGUAUUGUCAUUUGAUUUACCCUGACCAUUUUUCUUACUGUUAAUUAGAUGAGCAUUGUUUCAGUGCUAUCAUAGCAAUAUUAUUUUAAAACAAUCCUUUUUGUAGUUAUUUUUGCUAUCUUUUAUUGCAAAUUAAGAUGUAAUAGAUAGUACUAAAUGGUUGUUUAUACUACCGUCCAAGGUGUUGGUUAUCUGCUAGAACAUAAGUGUUAGAAAGUGUUUAUGGGGUGCUGAAAGUAUGUGCUAAAAUUCUUUUAAAAGUCUGGGUUUAGCACUGCUUUCUUGGAUUAAAUUUGGAAAUAUACAUGUGGUAGAUAAUCGAUCUAAUAUUAGUAUACAUUUUAAAUAAAAUUUAAGUUGGUAAAGCUGUUUUUUCUGUCAAGUAUUGUGUACCUUGUAGAUAGUCAUUAAGACUUGCUGAGGUUGUGAAUCAUAAAUUAAAUUAUUAAUAACAUUAUUUAAAUAUAACAGAGGCAACACCAUACUUCGGCAGAUUAAAUUUGCCUUUAAUGCAGCAUCAACAAGGAAGAUAUAAGCAUAAGCAAUUCUAAGUGGUUUGUUCUGUUUCUCUUUUUUAUAGGAAACCUUUGAAAGGUUAAAUUUUACAUUAGAACUGGUGACUUAACAAGAUUUUGUAGGAGACAUACUUCUUGCUGUCUCUGCAAUAGCAUUUUCUAAUGUAAACACAAAAAAUCAAUUUUAGUGAUGUUGUGAUAAGCUGUUUAAUUAACGUGGUUUUAAAAGUCAAUAAAUGUAAAUAAUUUACAGCUCAUCUAAUGAAUAGACUGUGCCUGUGAAGGCAUUUUGAGGGAACUAACUACUUCAAAUAGUAGUUGGAGGUCAGCUGCAAUGAUACAUAGUUGUUCUAAAGUAAAUUAUGGCUGUAUUCUGGCUGUUUGGAUUAUGGUAGACAAUUAAAAGAAAACUGAGCUUGUUUUGCAGAAUGUUUUUGUUGGGUCAUAACGUAGCAUUAUGCACUUAAUUUAGCAUUUCAGAUCUUAAAUACUUCAGUCAUGCUUUAAAAGGCCUUUAUGGUGAGGACAUUUUCUCAUGUAGAAUUGCAGUAAGCACUAGAAUAAAAGUAUUGCUAACCAUCUUAAGACUGUUGCUUCCUGGUUUUCAUGAGGCAAGAUAAAUGUAAUAUUACAUGAAACAAGUUUAUCUUAUUUCGGUAUACCAAAUAAAACAUUUUAAAAUUCUGAAAUGCUCUUCUGGAACUCUGAAGUAUGUUUAAGGUCAGAAUAAGUAUCAACUUAAAAAAUUGAUUUCAGGUUACCAAGUUGCUUGCUUAUUAUGAGUAUCUUCAUCCUUAUCUCUACUUUAACCAUGUAGUAUUUUAAAACAUUGAAUCUUAAUUCAUUAUC